rnacentral:snRNA from 1 species
GGAUGUAAGGGUGAUUUGGCUGUGACACCUGUCACCCCAUUGAUUGCCAGGGUUGAUUUGUUUGAUCUGGCUGGCUAGGUGGGUGUCCCCUUCCUCCCUCACCACUCCAUGUGCAUCCUUCCCGAGGCUGCAUGCUUGGUCAAAGAGGCUGACCAUCCCUAAUAAAUGAGGACCAUUCUUCAGUCAAGGGUAUAUAAGUACCUAUGCUCCCUGGUAGAACCUUCAAACAAGCUCUCAAAGACAAGACAGUAAAAAUUGUAGUAUUUAUGUGCCAAUCUCAACAUCUUGACUUUGCUGUAUAGUGUGAAAGCAGCU